UGAGGGUACCUGGCAUUGAGCAUCACUCU
rnacentral:piRNA from 1 species